AACGUAGGACGCAAGCGUUAUCCGGAGUUACUGGGCGUAAAGGGCGUGUAGGCGGCGCUGCAAGUUCGUCGUGAAAGACCCCGGCUCAACCGGGGGAGGUCGAGGGAGACUGCGGCGCUGGAGGACGGUAGAGGGACAGGGAAUUCCGGGUGUAGUGGUGAAAUGCGUAGAUAUCCGGAGGAACACCGGUGGCGAAGGCGGCUUCCUGGACCGACACUGACGCUGAGGCGCGAAAGCUAGGGGAGCAAACGGG
rnacentral:rRNA from 1 species